rnacentral:misc_RNA from 1 species
CCGAUUUUUAGCGGAUCUGAUCUUUGGUCAUGAUCUCGCGAAAAACUUGUAUUUAAAACCCCACUCUUAUAAAUUAAAUCAUUUAUACAAUGUAUAUAAUAAAUAAAGA